GAUGAACGCUAGCGGCAGGCCUAACACAUGCAAGUCGAGGGAGAAGCCCUUUCGGGGGCAGAAACCGGCGCACGGGUGCGUAACGCGUAUGCAACCUACCUUUCACAGGGGGAUAGCCCGAAGAAAUUUGGAUUAAUACCCCAUAAUAUUAUUGGAUGGCAUCAUUUGAUAAUUAAAACUGCGGUGGUGAAAGAUGGGCAUGCGUCCUAUUAGCUAGUUGGAGUGGUAACGGCACCCCAAGGCUACGAUAGGUAGGGGUCCUGAGAGGGAGAUCCCCCACACUGGUACUGAGACAGGGACCAGACUCCUACGGGAGGCAACAGUGAGGAAUAUUGGUCAAUGGUCGGAAGACUGAACCAGCCAUGCCGCGUGCAGGAAGAAUGCCUUAUGGGUUGUAAACUGCUUUUAUAUGGGAAGAAUAAGGCGUACGUGUACGUUGAUGACGGUACCAUAUGAAUAAGCAUCGGCUAACUCCGUG
rnacentral:rRNA from 1 species